UGAGUGGCGAACGGGUGAGUAAUACAUAGGUAACCUGCCCCUGUGCGGGGGAUAACAGGAGGAAACUCCUGCUAAUACCGCAUAGCCAUGAGCACCGCAUGGAGCUCAUGCCAAAUAUCCUUAGGGGAUAGCGCAGGGAUGGACCUAUGGCGCAUUAGCUAGUUGGCGGGGCAACGGCCCACCAAGGCAACGAUGCGUAGCCGGCCUGAGAGGGCGGACGGCCACAUUGGGACUGAGACACGGCCCAGACUCCUACGGGAGGCAGCAGUAGGGAAUUUUCGGCAAUGGGGGAAACCCUGACCGAGCAACGCCGCGUGAGCGAAGAAGGCCUUCGGGUCGUAAAGCUCUGUUGUAAAGGAAGAACGUCGCAUGCAGGAAAUGGUGUGCGAGUGACGGUACUUUACCAGAAAGCCACGGCUAACUACGUGCCAGCAGCCGCGGUAAUACGUAGGUGGCGAGCGUUAUCCGGAAUCAUUGGGCGUAAAGAGGGAGCAGGCGGCCGCAAGGGUCUGUGGUGAAAGACCGAAGCUAAACUUCGGUAAGCCAUGGAAACUGGGCGGCUAGAGUGCGGAAGAGGAUCGUGGAAUUCCAUGUGUAGCGGUGAAAUGCGUAGAUAUAUGGAGGAACACCAGUGGCGAAGGCGACGGUCUGGGCCGCAACUGACGCUCAUUCCCGAAAGCGUGGGGAGCAAAUAGGAUUAGAUACCCUAGUAGUCCACGCCGUAAACGAUGGUCACUAAGUGUCGGGGGUCAAACCCCGGUGCUGCAGUCAACGCAAUAAGUGACCCGCCUGAGUAGUACGUUCGCAAGAAUGAAACUCAAAUGAAUUGACGG
rnacentral:rRNA from 1 species